rnacentral:lncRNA from 1 species
UGCUCGUGUCCUGCUCGUGUCCUGCUCGUGUCCUGCUCGUGUCCUGCUCGUGUCCUGCUCGUGUCCUGCUCGUGUCCUGCUCGUGUCCAUGUUUGUUUGUUACUUUGGAUUUUGUACUUUGGAUUCAGCUUUUGCUAUAUUAAAGGCUCGCUUUUUUGUUAUAUCGUCUGCUGAACUGCUUUUGGGUCCUCUCCUACACCUCACCGUGACAUGAUAAAGGAUAUAUUGUCCUUCUCUCAUACACAAGAUCUUGUGAUGCUAAGGAUGUCGUUCUCCUUCAGCAGGACCACGUUUUUGUACAGGAGGAACUGGAGCUGCUUCAGCUGCUCGCUGUGAUGAUCUCUCUCCUCCCAAAGAAUCUUUAAGGUCUUGCUCUCAAUGCAUUCGUCCACUGUGUUCUGCCUCUCCAUUAUCUCCCUGUAGUUGGAGGACAGGGAAAACAUUUACUGACGUUUUGAAGCAACCAUCAAACAUCAACGAAGAAGAUCAGCAUGAAAAAUGUCCCUGCGGAUGUAACGCUAACUCUGUCCUAGACUUUACCGUUCCCCCUCCAAGUUUUUAUUCAUCAGGCUGUUGAUGGCAGCUUCAUGCUCUUCCCUCUGGCUGACCAGCUGUUCCUCCAGAGAUACCAUUUCAGACUUCUUCUGCAUCAGCUGCUCCUCCAUUUCAUGCCACUUAUCAGCUCUAACCACUGAGGGUAAGAGAGGAGUGUAAACAAGGAGAGGAGAGGAUGCUUCCCACAGUGUGUUUCACACAAAGUGCUUGGAUCAGUGUUUGAAACCCCCGAGCAUGACACCUUUCCAACGUCAGGCUUGGGGGGCUGUGUCCGAAUUUCUUUCUUCCAGAAAGAGAAUAUCUGACAAUAACACUUGACGCAGCAAUUUAAAGCAUACAUGUUUACACUAAGAAUCUAGUCCGAGUACAUAAAAUUCUCCCGCCCACUGAGGUUUAACCCAACCACUGAGAACUAGAUAAUCGGCUUUUACAAUCCUGCCGGUUUUUUAUGGGGAUAACACUAACGUUUCGGAAUCAAUGUAUUGAUCAUUGUUUGCUUUUACAGGUCCAAUGAGAUGAAAAAUCCCUUUUCCAUAUUUUGUGUCACUGGGUUGUCAAAUGUCAAAAAAAGCAUUAAAG